CUCCAGCUGUGCAGGUCGGUUUAUUUUGGGGGGUGACGCGGAACCUGCCUUUUUCUCGUAAGUGGAAACCCGCUAUACUACCCCCGGGAAAGGUCCGCCGGAAAAGAGGGGCCCGCUCUGAUUAGCUAGUUGGUAGGGUAAUGGCCUACAGACAUGUGGGAUGACCUGCGAGACUCGGAGAAUAUUGAGGGGGCAACCCUGAUCCGGAAUGCCGCGUGUGAUGAAGGCCUAGGGUUGUAAAGCCUUUCACUGGAAAUGAUGACGUACCAGAACCCCGGCUAUUCUGCCGCCCGCGAAUGGGGGGAGGUUGUUCGGAAUUACUGGAGGGCGCGUAGGCUUUUAUUGGUGAAAGCCCCGGUCAACCUGGGAACUGCUAAUACUGAAGACUAAACAAGGGUAAUUCCCAUGAGGAUUCAAUAUUGAAAACACCAGUGGGAGCGGUACCUGGUCAUUUUGAGUGAGCGAAAGACAAAGAUAAUUCACGUAACAUGUCUGCUAAGGGUGCUCGUGCCCCUAAAACCUGGACGCGAUAACUCAAAAUUCGGGCGACGGAGAUGUGCUAAUAAGCGCGCCAGUCUAUGGUUGUAACGAUUCUUCAUGUCCACGCUGAUGUUUUCUCGGACUGAUGAUUGGUGCUGUCCUGCGCCACUCAUUUUGCUGCGCCCGGCCUCUCUAACCCUCGUGAGCGGAGAGGCCUGACUCCCCCCCCUAACAUGGGUCACCCUAAUGCAGGGCCAGAGGA
rnacentral:rRNA from 1 species